GCCGGCCUAGCUCAAUUGGUAGAGCAACUGACUUGUAAUCAGUUGGUUGGGGGUUCAAGUCCUCUGGCCGGCACCA
rnacentral:tRNA from 1 species